rnacentral:misc_RNA from 1 species
GUGAAGAACGCAGCGAAAUGCGAUACUUGGUGUGAAUUGCAGAAUCCCGUGAACCAUCGAGUCUUUGAACGCAAGUUGCGCCCGAAGCCACUAGGCCGAGGGCACGCCUGCCUGGGCGUCACACGCCGUUGCCCCCCCAUCUACUCCUUCGGGGUUGCGGGGGGGCGGAUGAUGGCCUCCCGUGCGCCUAGCCGCGCGGUUGGCAUAAAUACCAAGUCCUCGGCGACGCACGCCACGACAAUCGGUGGUUGCGAAACCUCGGUUGCCCGUCGUGUGCGUUCGUCGCGCAUCGAGGGCUCGAAAAAAUGCUCGGCUCCGGCUGGGCUUUCAACGCGACCCCAGGUCAGGCGGGGUUACCCGCUGAAUUUAAGCAUAUCAAUAAGCGGAGGA